rnacentral:lncRNA from 1 species
CUGGGAGUGGGUGUGUAAAAUGAAUCUGGGGCUGGGAGCUUAGCUGCCUGGGCCAAGUCCUGGCCCUACCUUUCUUCCAGCUGCAAGACCAUUUCACCUGCUCAGCCUCAGCUUCCCAUCUGCCAGUGAGGGACAACCUGUCUGGAAUGGUGGCUGAGUCUGAAAUGAACAUCACCUGGUGAUGUGCAAGCCAGGUGAGAAUGCCACCGUGCAACAUAAAAGUGGGUGGCCGUUGCUGAUCAGCACCUUUUACUUCCACUUAGCACCAUGUUAGGCCCAGGAGAGGAAAUGGAUGGACCCUUGACUCUAUUUGGUGGCGGUGACAAUGGUCAGGAUUCUGCAGUUAUAUGAAUGGCCACCAGGAGUCACCCUCAGCUCAUGCUUGAAGUGAAGGCAGCACAGAAAAAGGGAAAGGAGCUGUAAGGGAGAAAAGGAGGAGGACACCCCACCACAGAGUGGAUGAGCCUGGAGGGGACCCAAGGCUGCCAGAGUGGCUGCUUCAUUUCUGCAGGAAGGUGCAGGACAGAACUCAGACUGGUGGGCACCGUGCCAGCAGGCAGAGGAGGGAGCAAAGGCUCAUUUGUCUGCCUUCGGAAUUCUCCUUCCCAUGCUGAUGUCAAAUCACAAUUCAACAGAUUCUUCAUGGGGCACCUGCUGCACACAGAGGGACAGGAAUCUUACUGAACACCUAGUAUAUGCCAGAGCCUACACACACAGUGGGCUACUCAACAUUCACAACAACUCUGUACAGUAAGUACAAAUAUUGGUCCCAAGAUACAGAUUGGGAAACUGAGGCUUAUACCAGUUAUGUGUUGUGCCCAAGGUCACCAAGCUGGAUGAGGACUGACGCCUGUCUGGAGCCUAAAUUCUUUCUCCUACACCAGAUUGACUUCCAGAGAGUUCUAGGAUACAAAGCUGGCAACAGACUUUCUGCCACGUAGAGGGAUAUGGCAGGUGACAACCCUGUCUGGCUCUGCUAAUCAGGAUCCAGUAAGAAGCUCAAGACAGGUGGCCACUCUGCUGGUAGGCAGAGGAGGGAGCUGUGCUCCCUGGGGUGGGUAGAAGUAAGGUUUGUGUGGGUGCUGGGUGUUGGACACGGGCAGGCUGCAGACAUAGCAGCAAUGAGGGGAGACUCUCUCAACCUGCCCAUGUCCUCCUCUGAGCAAUCUCCCCGCCCCAGAAUUAUUUCAGUUUCCUCAUCUGUCAGUUCUAGGGGUGGACUUCAUUCAUUCAAUACUGUGUCCCUGACCUCUGCUCCCUGCCAGGCUCUGAACUAGUCAUGUGUCAGGCUGGAUACUUAGAUGGACAAGACAAGCCAUCCCCUGCCCACAGCUGCCCCACCUGAAGUCUAGGCCAGUGACCUCCGAAGUUUUUUUGAUCAUGUGCCCUUAGCAAUAAAAAAGAUUGUUGAGU